rnacentral:rRNA from 1 species
AGCGAACGCUGGCGGCAGGCUUAACACAUGCAAGUCGAGCGGGCACUUUCGGGUGUCAGCGGCGGACGGGUGAGUAACGCGUGGGAACGUGCCCUCUGGUUCGGAAUAACUCAGGGAAACUUGAGCUAAUACCGGAUACGCCCUUUUGGGGAAAGGCUUGCUGCCGGAGGAUCGGCCCGCGUCUGAUUAGCUAGUUGGUGAGGUAACGGCUCACCAAGGCGACGAUCAGUAGCUGGUCUGAGAGGAUGAUCAGCCACACUGGGACUGAGACACGGCCCAGACUCCUACGGGAGGCAGCAGUGGGGAAUAUUGGACAAUGGGCGCAAGCCUGAUCCAGCCACGCCGCGUGAGUGAUGAAGGCCUUAGGGUUGUAAAGCUCUUUUAUCCGGGACGAUAAUGACGGUACCGGAGGAAUAAGCCCCGGCUAACUUCGU